AAAUAAACAAAAGAAUUGAUUGAAAGUCAUUGUCCCUGGAAAGCAGGAAUUGGAAAGGAAACUGCUGGUUUUUAAAAAUUGCUGUUGUUUCGGGUCUUGUGGUAAUAUUCACAUUUUUAAACUGUAUACAUUGAUACUACAAAGAAUUUAAAAGUAAAUGUAAAGUACAUUUGGAAUGUUGAGAAAAACAUACUUCCCUAUAAUGGCUGGUGUGACAACUAGGAAAAAUCCCUAACAGAUAAGCAUUCUAUCUUCACUUUAUAUAUGAGGAAAUUAAAGCCCACAGAGAUUAUGCAGGUUGACACAGUUAUUCAGUGACAGAGCCAGGCAUCAAACCCAAUCUUUCUGCUUCCUGUUUCAGGGAUCUUCAUAAUACCUCCUGCCUUCUCAUUAUCUAGUUUGUAUUUGUCAUGUUGCUUUAAAUAAUAUCAUCCACACAGAAACAACUUCAAAAAACUGAAAGUAGAAAAUGGCAUCCUUCAUUAGGCAUGGCUGAGCUAGAUGAACAGAUUCUAACGAUAUCUUAGAUCUCUGUUGCACCCUGUUUUGAAGACAGUGAGGAAUAGAGAUGAACAUUAAGUAGCACAUAUAACUUUGGAACCUAAAGCCUUUCCGAAUGGAUAAAUGCUUCUUGUUACACUAUCCCAAGAAAAAGAAUUGAUCUCAUCACUUAACAAAUGUUUUCAAUUUGAUUCAGUGCACCUGGGAAAUAACAUUUCUAUUUGCUGCCAAAAUAUGAUUGCAUUAAACUUUAAUAAUGUACCUGUCAUGGGGGUUAGACAAGAAUAUUUUAAUUGAGUGUCAACUACACCCCACUGGAAUACACUAAUAGAUUUACUUUUUCAAAAAGUUAGAAACAUUGAUGAACUCUUAGUUGUCUGCUAUUAGUUUUAUAUAGCCACUGAUUAGUAUUGCCCCCCUUCCACAAGUACAAGGCAUCACUAGACUUCUCCUUGGUAACCAGAUAUUUUUUUGUGUCCUUCGGUACUUGUUCCUGGAAGUGUCAUUAUGAUGUCUGCAAUUUGCGGAAUUCAAUGGCAGCUCCAGUUAAAUAAACAAAAUCUAAUUAUGUCAGAAUUAGGCUUUGCUCAAAUUAGUAUGAUUGAUUUUCUUUCUGUAUAAUCUGUGAACACCUGCAAAAAUGGUAAAUGUCAAGGUGUUUCUUAGAAAACUUUAAAAAAUUUAAAAGAUCUGGUGAGGGAAAUGUAGAUUGCGUUGCUGUAUAGUCUAUAUGUUUGAUCUUUUUAGUCUAGGUCCUUGCGUUUUGGAUUUAUGAACCCUGCAAUUUUAUGCAAAAUGACACAUGAGUGUGCAUUUUGCAAAAAGAUUGUCUUUAACUUUCAUGAAAUUUUAAAAGAGGUUUCUAACCCCCAAACCACAAAGAACCGUUGCUUUCCAGAAAGAAAUAGAAUCCAUGUAGAAUCCUUUAAUUAGGUUUUUCUUAGUGGAAAUAAAAAUAUUUUUGUAAUCGGUGCUAGUAAAUAUCUGAGAGAUAGAAAGUAUUACAUUUGCCUUCCGCUAUUACUAUUCGAUUCCUUUUCUAUUUCUGGAAUCAUGAAUAUCAAAGUUCAUCUAAGACAAAUUUCGUUUCCCCUCCCACUCUACCCCCAAUUUUUUCUUCUAGCUUUUGAGGAUUCAUAUGAGAUUAUCAACAGACAAUACUUUUUGUCAUGGCUUCCUUAUUGAAUUUUUUACUUCUCUUUCUGGAUUACAUACUGAAAAUGUUUAUGAGAAUAGCGAAAAUCUCAAGCAUUUAUAUUACUUAGUGAUGCCAAUGGAAUGAUCCACUCACGUUGGUCUUGGUUUCUUUCAUUGAUCAGAAGCAGACUCUGCGCCAUCUUUGCCAGAGCUCUCACAAGACAUUUCCGCGAAGCAAUUACAGAGCAAGAAGAGCCUCAACUCAAUGAUAGGCCCAAUGCUAAAUGACAAGGUAACGAUUUCUUCAGGAACUGAGGAGAGACAGGCCUGGAAAGUUGUAAUGAUUUUCUUCACAACUAGUAAGAAGAUAAAUGAUAUGAAAGAGGAAUCUUCUCUGAGACAUGUUCACAAGCAGGUCGGACCUUUCAUUCAGAACAAGAUUAUUUUAAUUUUUAACGGUUUAAGAUAUAACUGAUUCAUUCCUUAAAUUAGUUCAUCUUGCUCAAGUCAUUAUAAUAUUAAUUCACUGUUAUUUUUGGUAAUACAGAUCAUUGUUAAUUUUUUGUAUUUAGAAGCCAGGAAUACACAAGGGAAGGGCACAUUCAGAAGUAACUAACACUAUUACAAUUUUAGGACCUUUCCAUUUUAUUGAAUUGGGUUUUAUUUAAAAUUUUGUCUCUCUUUUUUUGUCAUUAUUAUGUCUAAUAUGUUUUCAUUCCUUAAAUCUGCUCUGUAUAUGUUCUGUUCGCAAUAUUUAAACAUACAAUGACUAUAGCUUCAUUUUCCAAAUCUAAUCUAGCCUAAACCCUUUGGUGGGGCAAGAAAAGCAAGUUGUAAAAUAAUCUCUUUGUCGUGACCCUCAAGUCAUAUCUUCUGGACUUGAAAGGUACACUGGAUGUCCUAUGUGUUGGUGCCUCAUGCUGCUCAGCAGGAAAUCUGAACUGUUCUCACCUCUCUGGUCCUUCUCUCUCACCAGCAGAUAUACCCGAGAACAUUCUCCACAUUGUCUUAAUUCUCCUGCUUUCUGCCUUGGGUCACUCAACCCAAAUGGAAGAGAUUGCACUGUUCAUAUUAGGGAUGCUUUAAUUCUAUAGUUCAAAGAUUGCAAUUUAACACAAAAAUCUACUUUUUCUAGUAGAUAACAGUAAAUAACAGUUCUGGUGAAUAUUAAGAGGAGGGAGUCUUUUGUUUAAAAAUAGCCUGCAAUUCAGUAGCAUCAUCUUUAUAAGUAGAGGAUGCACAAUCACCUACUUGCUGGUCACUGCUCUGCUUUGGGUCAUCUGAAGUCGAUCACUGCAUCCUUGGAGGAUGGUGUGAAAUGCCAGUGAAACCAUGAACUAAUUCAAUGACAUGCCCAUUGUUCCACUCACUUAGGCAAAUGCUUUUUCUCAACAGGGAAGCUUCUCACAUAUUCCUAACAGUACUAAAUGAGCUCAAAAAACUUAAGAAUGAUACCCCACUGCUGCUUGUCUCUAGUUCUCAGUUCUCAUCCUGGUGGGCAAGACCCCCAGCAUCAUCUCAGUCAUAAAGUACUUGUAAGUAUUCAGAAAGGCCUAAGUUAACUAUUGUCAGGUUACACAGGUUUGGAAGCUUGAGCACAUUCUAUGGCAUUUGUGGUAUGGCCUCUGUAGAAUCAAUAUCCUUAAUCAUAGAUAGCAGAUGGAGCUGUGAGACAAUGACCUUCCAGAGUGCCUUCCCCAGAUAGACUUAACGCUACCACACUUCAAAGGCAAUCACUGUCCAUCCACUCCAGGUCAGCGUGCAGUGCUGGCCGGGGGCCUGGGCUACCAGAAAGACACUGGCUAGAGUUGAACGCUCAAUCUCCCUGCUCCCAAGUACAGAUAAGAGGUGAGAGAGAGGCUCACAGCCUUCUAGAACUUUAUGUGCUUAAGUGCUGAUAGGAGCUACCAUUUGCUGCAUUUUGGUCACUCUGGAAUAUAAGACCCCUGAGACAGCAGCUGAUGUGGCUAAGGAACAGUCAGGCCAGAUUUGGUGAAACUUAUUUAGCAGAACACAGAAUCCAAGAACCCUCAUGAAUGCCAGUCAAAAGCAUGACUCAGGCAAAGGGAACAGACAAUAAAAAGAAUGACUUCACAUUUCACAGCAGGAAUUCUCUGGCCUCGGAGAACACUAGAUACCUCUGGACCACACAUCCCUUUGGCAGAAUACUUUUCUCAUCUACAGAUCACUGUAUGGCUCGGUUUACCUGAAGCCUCUUGUGGUUUCUCCACCUAAUAACCCACAUGAUUUUUUUCUAGAAAAGCAGCAUAGAUGGAGAUGGAAUGUAACACCUGAAAUAAUAGGAUUUUACAGGAAAUAAUGUAAAUCAAGCCUUUUGCCCUUAAUGACCCAUGAUAAAAUGCUCUUGUUACCAAGCUGUGCAGGCAACCCAGUGCAGGUUGCCAUGGAAACACCCAGCUGCUCCUCUGCGCAGUUGCUUAAUGAUCAGUGUGAUGUCAGGCUCUGGAGAGAAGCACAAGCUCAGACAACUCUUUACAGUCACAGGGACAGUCCACUUGGGACUGCAGUUCGUCUGAGUGGGGGCCCCUGUGUCCAGGUAUAAUUAAAAUGCACUCAGACCUAUGACUGGAAAUGCUUUCAGCAGAAAAUCACGUCGCCUUUUUCAUGUCUCCAUUCAUUUUCAUUUCUCCAUAUGACUUCCCAGUCAGAAGCAAGCCAGAAGCAGGGAGGCCAUGGCAUGUUGCUGCAGAUGGCGCGUCAUCAGUCUGUGACCCGGCUCCUGCUCCACACGGGUGGGAGAUGCAGGGGCUCUACCUUGACCCAUGCCAUAAAAGGUCACCUUUUUGUCCCCUCUUCCCAUGUUCCCUGCAUCUACUUUUCACAGUGACUGGACCUGAAAUUCUCACUAUUACUCAUGGCUUGAUUUAGAUAACAAAGGCAAGAGGUUUUGCCCAGUAUAUUAUUUUCAAAAUGUAUUUAUUAUCUGGGAAGAAAAGACAAGCCCUGGGGAAUCUCUUCCUGUCCUUCGCUCCUUUUAUUUUUUUUCUCCCUUCCUCUCUUUCAUUCUCUCUCAAAAGGGUUUAUUAGGUGCCUAUUGUCUGCAGGUAAUUACCAGAAACACAAGGAUGAAUGAAGCUUGAUUGCUGUCCUCCAGGAGCUGACAGGUUAUUAGAUGGGGACAGGCAUGUAAACGAAUGCGUGAGCUAAAGAGACAGAGGUGUGUACAGGGCACAGGUGGAUAAAUCCUACCUGAGGGAGAGCUGGAAAGGCUUUUUCAGGGGUGGGGGGUGGGGGUGGGGGGCGUUGCUUACUAGGCAACCUCUUGGGAAGAAAUUAAUGGGAUUGUGGAAUUAAUGGGAGGAAGGGAAGAGGGACACUGUGAGUAAAGACUGAAGGCACAAAAUAAUCUCGUAUGCUUGAUAAAUUGCAAGCAGUUGAGAAUGGCUGGAGCUUUGGCCAGGAUAGUAGUCUAGGGAGAAAUACAUCAGAAGUAGGCAGGAGUGAGAAGCUAAUGAAGUUUGACUUUACUUUACAGGCCAGUAGGAGCUACUUAAGCAUUUUCAGGAGGGAAGACAGAGAAUUAGACUUGCCGUUUAGGAAGAUCACUUUUUUUGGUGGGGGGGCAACGAAGAGCAUAUACUGAGGAAGUAGGAGACACGGAAUAAUUAGGGAGUUAGUGGGAGAGCGUGACUGUACAGAACGGCUAUUGUUUUUUUGUCUAACAUCUGUUUCUUUGGAAGAGAAUCACCUGUCUCUCAUUGCCUGGCCCACUCACACAAGGGUGGACAAAUGACCCAAACUCAACCCAUUACAGUACCCGUCCCUGGUUCAGGUGGGCACAUAAUCCAAGCAGUUUUUAUCAAGCUUCUCUACUGAAAAUUCACAUAUGCACGCCUAGACAUAGAAUUAUUUCUCCUCCUCCUACUCCUUCUCCUCCUUCUUCUUCUUUCUUUUUCUUCUUCUUCUUUAUAAAAGGAUGUAGCCUUGCAGCUUCCAGAGGCCAUCUUUCUUGUUACACAGAGAAAACCUGAUCAUUAAGCCAAUACUUGCAGGAAAAUGAACAAGAAGGGGAAACAGAGCUGUAUUAAUAUUGUUUGAGCCUCUAACGUCUAGAGUCUACAUCCCUCUGUGUCUGAAACCAGUUUACCAAUGGACUUUAGGGUUAUAUACACCAAUAAGUUUAUUUUUGCUUGAGUAAGCUUGAGUUAGUUUUUAGUCACUUGGGGCUGAAUGAUUCCUGAUUAUGAAAACAGGUAAAAAUGAUGACAGCUUAAGCCAAGGUUGUAGGGGAUGGAAAGGAUGGUUUAGUCAAAGUUAAGGAAACCACCCAGGAAUUGGAGAGAGAGAGACUAUGGAGUGGAAGGGGAAAAAAAUCAACCAGAAUUAUGCCCAGAUCCUUUGUUUCAAUGAAUAACAAUGCCACCUUAUAAGACAUUGAAUAUAAGAAGAGAAACAAUUAUUUUGGGAAAGAGGUACAUGUUUUAAUUUAUUGGGUUUUAGAUAUUUGAGGGAUGUCUAGUUGAAAUUUUUGAGUAAAUAAUUAAGAUUUUCUAUAACCCACUCCCUGAAAUACAUGCAACUUAUAGAACCACAUGAUGGUAAGCAUCUUAAAAGUCUUCCAAUCAUGCUACUCAUUUGAUACUUUAAUUCCUUCUGUUGAACAUUUAUUAAGUGCCUGUUGGUGUCAUGUGCUGUGCUAGGAGGAAAGUCACAAUAUGUAUUCACAGCCUGCAUUCUCGUGAGGUUCACGGUCUAGCUGGGGAGACAGACGUGGUAUUUCCAUGGGCUGAGAGAGAAGAGCUACUAGUGGCACCUGUGAAGUACUGGAGGGACACAGAGGUUGAACCUUCCAGCUGUGGACCUACAACUCCUGAUCAAAAGGGUUGUGCAGUUUCUGGUUUGAAUCUCCCGAAAGCAGAGAUGGAUGCGUAGACUCUACAAUGGAGAAAGGAGCGGUCCAUUCCCUAAGUUCCAUUCUGGACACUGAAUAGCAUCUUGGGAGAAACCAAAAUGGGAUCCCACUCUAGAACAAUUUCGACUAAUUCAUGUGGAUACGCCACCUUCAAAGAGGUGAGACGGUGUGGUCUGCCCACAGUCACUUCCUUCAGAAAACAGGGAAUAAAAGAAUAUCUUUCCAUUGGAGAAACCUGCUGGACACCACCUCAGCCAGGUGAUCAAAGUCAACAACAGUGGUAAGUCAUGUUCAUCGAAUGUAUCCCUGACAUGAGGAAAAUGGUAUUUUACCUCUGUGUUCUUCCUCUCCCAAACCUGUAACUCCAGAUUAAUCAUGAGGAAAGCAACAGACAAUUCCCAAUGAAAGGACAUUCAAAAAAAUGCCUCAAAAUUGUCAAGGUCAUCAGAAAUGAAAAACAUGAGAAACUGUCUCAGCCUAAGAAGACACAACUAGUAAAUACCAUGUGGCAUCCCAGAUGAGAUGCUGGAAUAGAAAAAGGAUGUUAGGUGAAAUCUAAGGAAAUCUGAAUAAAGUAUGAACUGAAAUUAAUAAUAAUGUGUCAACAUUGGUGAAUUAAUUGCAGCAAAUGUGCCUUAACGUAAGAUGCUAAUAACAAAGGAGACAGAGCAUGGGGCAUAAGAACUGUCUUUGCAAGUUUUCUGUAAGUCUAAGACCAUUCUAAAAAAUCGAGUUUUUUUUUAAAAAAUACUUCUCUUUCCUGUAAUAAUGUAAGACAGAUUAGGGGAGAACCAUAUAACAAAGUCUAGAAUCAAUUGAAGUGGCAUCAUAAAGCUAAAUUCCAGAAAAAGGUGACCAUCUGGCUUCGUGGAACCCAAAUGUGCUGGCUUAGUGCUAAAGUGGCAGCCAGGAAGGGUUUAAAUGGUGUUAUCAUUAAUACAUAUUUGGCAGCAGGAAUUUCCAUUAUUAGCAGCUGAAAAAACAUGCCAUGGAACAUUUGAACAGAACUGUACAGGAAAAUACAAACUCUCCCAACUUUGCUCUCUUUAUGCAGCUGACAUCUCCUGAGAAACAAAGAGCCAAGUUUUUCUUUUCAGAGCCUGCAAGAUUUAUUUUUUUUAGAAAAAUCUACCUUUAAUUACUGUAGAAUGCUCCCUGAUGCUCAAAGACUACUGAGCUCAUUGGAUGCCUAUGGACUAAGAACUGGGCUUUGUUAUUAUUAUUUAGAAAACAAACAGGUUCAGAGAGGGUCAGUGAUUUGCUCUGAAUUCACAUCUGGUAAGUUGCGGAACUGGAACUUGAACCUAGGUCUUUCAAAUAAAAACUGAAUGUCCUUUAUACAACUAAAAAUGACUCGAGACAUCUUUUUGUCCUGUUGUUUGGCUUAUGUUAGUGGACAUCAGACACCCAAAACAAAAAUGUCACCUUCUGAUGAGUGAAGACAACAAGGUGGGCUUUGGCCUUCCCAAUGGGUAUUGACACUAACAAACCAGAAAAUUCUUCUGAGCAACACUGAGCCUCAGUUUUAUCAUUUAUUUUCUUCUUUCAAUUUGUCCCUCAAAUGCUUUCACCAUCUCUGUUUCUUGUAUUAAUCUGAUCAUUUUUGUCUUUGAUUCCUGCACAGCUGGUGAAGUCACUCUUCACCUUAUUUGGUUCUCCUUCUACACUGCAUUUCAGCUUUAAUCACCUCUCUCAUCUGCCUGAUGCUGAGACCCUAGUCCCUGUUCCUGUUUGCCUUGGUCUUGACCACAUGACAAAGAGUAUUAGACUAUCAGAGAAUACCCAAUGCUAUUUUGAAUCGAAAAUCUGCACUAUUUUCAAAAGUUCACUGGGAAACUGGAGUACUUGAUAAUUCAGUUAUUAAGAACAUCUAAUUCUACCUCAUCUCUCUUCUGUGGGGGAUAAGAUUUAAUAUGUAUCACUUCUAAUAAAAGGAAAUGAGGAAUUGGGUCAUUCUUUUCAAUUUCACAGUAAUAUUUCACUGACCUCUAAAAAUACCUCCUAUUAAAAUGUAUAGAAACCAAUUCUUGGGCAGAGCUCAGACUUGAAUAGAUGCAAAGAAUAAUACUGCACAUUAGAAGAAGAAAUCUCUUCCGAAUAGGACCUUAGGUUUUAACAAUCCAACCAACUUAGAAACAAUGGGACACUUUGAAAUGUACUUAGAUCUCUGUCAGUGAGUUUUCCAAAGAAAGUCAGGGCCACUUUUAUUGGGGAUGUUGUCAAAGAGAUUCGUAUUUUACAUGUUGGGGUGAAGGGCCUGGGGAAAUGUUGUGGAUCACUUUGAAAUUAGUUUUUUAAACCUACAUAUAAAAUGACAUUUUAUAUUGAGUCACUCUAGCCUAUUAAAACUCAUCUCAACUUUUGUUACCAGAGUGCAAUUUUCCUUGUGCAGCACUUUGCGAAUUCUCACUGCCCUCUGCUAAUAAUUCUGAAUUCGAAUCUAUAUCCUCUUAGAGAGAGUGAGACCUUUGCACUUCUAAAGAUUGCAGAGCCAGUGGCUUUGUCUCCAUGUGACUGUGCACUGAAGGGUAAUGUUCUCAUGCCUCAAGGGGCAGCCAGAUAGCCUGGGGAAGAGCAAUGGAAUAGAGCACGCUGGGAGAGCCAAGGCCUGAAAUUAGGGAGUAGGGAGAAAUGUUGGCUACAGGCCCUGAGAAGUAUAGUCUAGCAGAUAGAAUGCUGUAUCCAAGGGUAGGGAAAUAGAUAUGGGGGCAGGGCGUGGGAGGUGGAGAGAAUGUGUUGGAAGCAAAGAUCUCAGAGCAAUGUAGUAGGAAAAUUAUGAAAGACAACCAGAGAAAAGUAAUGAAGACUGAAGGAUAGAGUAAUAGUCAGGUGUUUCAUGAAAGGGCUGUAUAUGUAAAGCAACCCCCAAAAUGCAGAAGGAACUUAAUAACCAAAGAAGGAGGCACACAAGUCCUGCUUGCAUUAUAGAGAGAUUUUAUUGGGGAAUUUACAGACAGAAGUAUGGUCUUUGGUAGACGCAAGUCAGGUAAAUUUCCUCACCAUUACUCCCAGACCCAGGGAUUAUAUACCCUAGGAAAAGGGUACACAUACUUCAGAGGGAAUAGGAAGGAAUUUGAUCUAAGGGUAGGAUUUAUGGGUAGUAUGAGUUUAUGAAGGUUGAUUUGAUCUAAGGACAGGAUUUAUGGUAACUAUGUGCUCUUACACAGGAAGCAGAGAUAAAUUGGAAAUCUCAGAUUCAAUCCUGGAAAGGGGGUUAAUCAGAAGUCAUUAUGGCAGAUUCGCUUCCAAGAUGGAGUCACUUUAACCUUCACAUCAGGAGUCUAGGAAGACAGAAAAUAAGCACGUAGCAGAGUUUCACCAUCUAUGCUGGGCUUAAAAAAAUAAGACUGAUCCCGGAUUAGUCCUUGUGGCCAAAGAACAAAGAAGUGGGCAGGCAAGAAUGAGGCAAGACUCAGUACAAGAGACAAUGCCAAGGCCCGGCGCAGUGGCUCACGCCUGUAAUGCCAGCACUUUGGGAGGCCGAGGCGGGCAGAUUACCUGAAGUCUGGAGUUCGAGACC